UNCCAUGUGUAGCGGUGAAAUGCGUAGAUAUAUGGAGGANCACCAGUGGCGAAAGCGGCUCUCUGGUCUGUCACNGACGCUGAGGCUCGAAAGCGUGGGUAGCGANCAGGAUUAGAUACCCUGGUAGUCCACGCCGUAAACGAUGAGUGCUAGGUGUUAGGCCCUUUCCGGGGCUUAGUGCCGGAGCUAACGCAAUAAGCACUCCGCCUGGGGAGUACGACCGCAAGGUUGAAACUCAAAGGAAUUGACGGGGGCCCGCACAAGCGGUGGAGCAUGUGGUUUAAUUCGAAGCAACGCGAAGAACCUUACCAGGUCUUGACAUCCCGAUGCUAUUCUUAGAGAUAGGAAGUUACUUCGGUACAUCGGAGACAGGUGGUGCAUGGUUGUCGUCAGCUCGUGUCGUGAGAUGUUGGGUUAAGUCCCGCAACGAGCGCAACCCUUAUUGUUAGUUGCCAUCAUUAAGUUGGGCACUCUAGCGAGACUGCCGGUAAUAAACCGGAGGAAGGUGGGGAUGACGUCAAAUCAUCAUGCCCCUUAUGACCUGGGCUACACACGUGCUACAAUGGUCGGUACAACGAGUUGCGAGCCGGUGACGGCAAGCUAAUCUCUGAAAGCCGAUCUCAGUUCGGAUUGGAGGCUGCAACUCGCCUCCAUGAAGUCGGAAUCGCUAGUAAUCGCGGAUCAGCACGCCGCGGUGAAUACGUUCCCGGGCCUUGUACACACCGCCCGUCACACCACGAGAGUUUGUAACACC
rnacentral:rRNA from 1 species